rnacentral:tRNA from 1 species
GGAGAGUGUGGUGUAAUGGCUGCAUAACACACUGUCACUGUGUUGGUCGGGGUUCGAAUCCCCCAUUCUCCG